GACGAACGCUGGCGGCGUGCUUAACACAUGCAAGUCGAACGGAAAGGCCCUGCUUUUGUGGGGUGCUCGAGUGGCGAACGGGUGAGUAACACGUGAGUAACCUGCCCUUGACUUUGGGAUAACUUCAGGAAACUGGGGCUAAUACCGGAUAGGAGCUCCUGCUGCAUGGUGGGGGUUGGAAAGUUUCGGCGGUUGGGGAUGGACUCGCGGCUUAUCAGCUUGUUGGUGGGGUAGUGGCUUACCAAGGCUUUGACGGGUAGCCGGCCUGCGAGGGUGACCGGCCACAUUGGGACUGAGAUACGGCCCAGACUCCUACGGGAGGCAGCAGUGGGGAAUAUUGCACAAUGGGCGGAAGCCUGAUGCAGCAAAGCCGCGUGCGGGAUGACGGCCUUCGGGUUGUAAACCGCUUUCGCCUGUGACGAAGCGUGAGUGACGGUAAUGGGUAAAGAAGCACCGGCUAACUACGUG
rnacentral:rRNA from 1 species